rnacentral:rRNA from 1 species
CAGUCGCCGCGGGAAUACGAAGGGUGCAAGCGUUACUCGGAAUUACUGGGCGUAAAGCGUGCGUAGGUGGUGGUUUAAGUCCGUUGUGAAAGCCCUGGGCUCAACCUGAGAAUUGCAGUGGAUACUGGGUCACUAGAGUGUGGUAGAGGAUAGUGGAAUUUCCGGUGUAGCAGUGAAAUGCGUAGAGAUCGGAAGGAACAUCUGUGGCGAAGGCGACUAUCUGGGCCAACACUGACACUGAGGCACGAAAGCGUGGGGAGCAAACAGGAUUAGAUACCCGCGUAGUCCCUGUCUCUUAUAC